rnacentral:rRNA from 1 species
AGUGGCGAACGGGUGAGUAACGCGUGAGGAACCUGCCUCAAAGAGGGGGACAACAGUUGGAAACGACUGCUAAUACCGCAUAAGCCCACAGGUCGGCAUCGACCAGAGGGAAAAGGAGCAAUCCGCUUUGAGAUGGCCUCGCGUCCGAUUAGCUAGUUGGUGAGGUAACGGCCCACCAAGGCAACGAUCGGUAGCCGGACUGAGAGGUUGAACGGCCACAUUGGGACUGAGACACGGCCCAGACUCCUACGGGAGGCAGCAGUGGGGAAUAUUGCGCAAUGGGGGCAACCCUGACGCAGCAACGCCGCGUGCAGGAAGAAGGUCUUCGGAUUGUAAACUGUUGUCGCAAGGGAAGAAGACAGUGACGGUACCUUGUGAGAAAGUCACGGCUAACUACGUGCCAGCAGCCGCGGUAAUACGUAGGUGACAAGCGUUGUCCGGAUUUACUGGGUGUAAAGGGCGCGUAGGCGGACUGUCAAGUCAGUCGUGAAAUACCGGGGCUUAACCCCGGGGCUGCGAUUGAAACUGACAGCCUUGAGUAUCGGAGAGGAAAGCGGAAUUCCUAGUGUAGCGGUGAAAUGCGUAGAUAUUAGGAGGAACACCAGUGGCGAAGGCGGCUUUCUGGACGACAACUGACGCUGAGGCGCGAAAGUGUGGGGAGCAAACAGGAUUAGAUACCCUGGUAGUCCACACCGUAAACGAUGGAUACUAGGUGUAGGAGGUAUCGACCUCUUCUGUGCCGCAGUUAACACAAUAAGUAUCCCACCUGGGGAGUACGACCGCAAGGUUGAAACUCAAAGGAAUUGACGGGGGCCCGCACAAGCAGUGGAUGAUGUGGAUUAAUUCGAUGCAACGCGAAAAACCUUACCUAGCCUUGACAUGCCAGGAAUCCUGAAGAGAUUCGGGAGUGCCCGCAAGGGAAUUUGGACACAGGUGCUGCAUGGCUGUCGUCAGCUCGUGUCGUGAGAUGUUGGGUUAAGUCCCGCAACGAGCGCAACCCUUAUCUUUAGUAGCCAGCGGUCAGGCCGGGCACUCUAGAGAGACUGCCAGGGAUAACCUGGAGGAAGGCGGGGAUGACGUCAAAUCAUCAUGCCCCUUAUGACUUGGGCUACACACGUGCUACAAUGGCGUAAACAAAGGGAAGCAAAGCUGUGAAGCCGAGCAAGUCUCAAAAAUAACGUCUCAGUUCGGACUGUAGUCUGCAACCCGACUACACGAAGCUGGAAUCGCUAGUAAUCGCAGAUCAGAAUGCUGCGGUGAAUACGUUCCCGGGUCUUGCACUCACCGCCCGUCA